UCUCUGUUAGUAUAUCGGUUAGUACACGCGCUUGUCAAAGUGGCAUAUAUACGCGCGAAAGCGGGGUUCGACUCCCCGACAGAGAG